rnacentral:lncRNA from 1 species
GUGUGUCGAAGUGAGGUUAUUUUGUCAACUUUACUGAAGAAGGAUGGUAACUAUGUGAAUGAAGAAGGAAAGAUUUUAGCUGUAUGAUUUAUAUACCUGUCCAUUUUCAAAUUUCAGUUAUGGUGUUGAUUUAUUCUUGUCUUUUUUCUUUGGUCCAUAGCCUAGCAUAAGACUCAACUAGCUAUCAAAGAAUAAAAACAAAAAAUAACUAAUGUAGGUGAGAAGUGAGCUUAUUGUUCUAGCAGCUGCCUUUGUGCUACAAAUGUGUCUUCCUAGGA